GUGCUCUCUUCGACAGCACAUAUACUAAAACCGGAAUGAUACAGAGAAGAUUAGCAUGGCCCCUACGCAAGGAUGACAUGCAAAUUCAUGAAGCAUUCCAUAUUUUU
rnacentral:snRNA from 1 species